rnacentral:tRNA from 1 species
GGUGGUGUGUCUGAGCGGCCUAAAGAGCGCGCCUCGAAAGCGCGUGUGGGUUCACCCCCACCGCGGGUUCAAAUCCCGCCGCCACCG